AGAAAGAAAGAAGAAAGCCAUGUGAACAUCAAUGUUUGUCCCAAACAGCAUGUCACCUGCAGAUCAGAUGAGUCAGCCUGCUCCUUGUCCAGAGGCAGGAGGAAAAAGCCUCCACCCGAGACAAUUCAAGCCUUAUCACCUCAGAGCUUCACCAGGCACCUGCAGCUCCUGUUUCUGGUCCAUGAUGUGGAAAAGACCCUGGAUGGAGGAGAGAAGUCUUAGCAUCCUGCAGGACUCCUCUCUUGCUUUGCCUGGCAAGGCUUGCACCAAGAGCCUCCGUGGUGAUCUUCCCCCUGGCUCUAUAUGAUUCUGAAGGAUCAGAGGAUAUUCCACCCAGAAGAAAAGAUUAAGUGGAAGGACCUGGCUGAACCCCGUGGGCUGCCUUUCUCUCCUCUCAAGCUGAACCAUGACAGCCCCAAGGCAGGAAGGAACAAGAAGCCAGGAAAACCUCAUGUUCAAAGCCAGUGGACUCAGUUUCCAAUGCUCUAUGACCCGAAGAGGUUCCUUCAUCUUGCUUAGCUUUAGCUUUGGUGCUGAGAUGGGUGGGCAGCACUGCAUGUCCCCACAAACGUCUGAGACGUUCUGUAGCUUUCAAUCAGGAAGAAAAGAAAAAAUCUGAUUCCUCAGGGCAGAGGAGGCAAUGGAGCCCCAGAAGAUCAGGCAGGUGCCGCAGAAGCCAGCUCACUCUGGUGGGCACAGGGGGGAGGGAAACCCUGGUCCUCAGCUUAGUCACUGCCACCCAGCCUUUGUGGUGCCUUGCCGUCCUACCUCUUCAGUGCUGGCCUGGCCCUGACCUGAGGCUCACCCACUGGCCCUCUUUCUGCAUUUGGCCUUGGGGCAGCUGAGAACAGGGCUGGGUGCUUGCCCUGCCUGGGAUACCUUUGGCCUCAGGCAGGUGGAGUCCUGAGCCAGGCUUUUAAAGGAACCACACCAUAAACAGGCCCUAUUCCCUUUACCAACUCCUACAGCCUCACAGCACCCAGGGUUAAGCAUGCAGGCCAGCCCUGGGGCAAGGCCUGCUGAUUUCAUCUGGAGGGGAACUAGAGGUCUCUUGGGUAAUGCUGGGGGUGGGAUGGGAGAAUCAGAGGAGCAAGGUUGGAAGACAAUAAUUUGGAAUUAAAGCCAACAGGGGCCAGGUGUUUAUCCAAAGAAAUACCUAAGUAUGUGCUUCAAGAGAACUGAGG
ensembl:lncRNA